rnacentral:rRNA from 1 species
AUUGAACGCUGGCGGAAUGCUUUACACAUGCAAGUCGAACGGCAGCACGGGGGCAACCCUGGUGGCGAGUGGCGAACGGGUGAGUAACACAUCGGAACGUGCCCAGUCGUGGGGGAUAACGUAGCGAAAGCUACGCUAAUACCGCAUACGAACUCUGGUUGAAAGCGGGGACUCGCAAGGGCCUCGCGCGAUUGGAGCGGCCGAUGGCAGAUUAGGUAGUUGGUGGGGUAAAGGCCUACCAAGCCGACGAUCUGUAGCUGGUCUGAGAGGACGACCAGCCACACUGGGACUGAGACACGGCCAGACUCCUACGGGAGCAGCAGUAAGGAAUAUUGGUCAAUGGACGCAAGUCUGAACCAGCCAUGCCGCGUGGAGGAUGAAGGUCCUCUGGA